rnacentral:lncRNA from 1 species
GGGGAUACAAUAAUUUUUUCCAUAACAAGAAAAAGGAAGUUAAGUUUCAAUGUAUGACCUUUAAAUGGGAAAGCAAAAUAAAGAUAGCACUGAUUUUUAUGCCCAAAAGUCCAAGACGUAUCUGCUUAGUGGGGCACCUGAUAUUUUAUUAUAUUAGGAUUUCACAAAAGGUCAGAGGAGAUAGGGAUUAUAAUCAAAUAAUCAACUUGUCGUACCACGAAAGUUCACGAGCAGUUGUACUAUAAUCCUUCAGAAAAGGCCAAUUCUACAGCAGAAAUGAACAAUGAUCAGUUUGAGAAACUCAACAAAGGGUUUUCUUCCAACACACGUAGCAAGUAUAUAUAUGGGACAAAGAACACUUGUCCCACGAGUGUCUCAUUCUAUAUUUAAGAUUAAUCGAAUUUUAAUAAGUAAAUGUAAUAUAAAAAUAUUAGUUUAUGUCUUAAAAAAAGUUAUUUAUUCAUACAGAAAUAUUUAAUUAAUUUGGGACAUGGAAUAGGACAACUUAUACGUUUAAUAGAUGCAAUGUGGGACAAUUGUAUACAAUCCAUAUUUACAUAUUAUUACAGAUUUUGAAGGUGGUUUCUAUGGCAAUAGUAUAUUUGGAUGUAUGUAUCAGAAACUUUUAUUAAAAACUAGUUGUACACAUAAGAACUGCUCAUAAGCAUUGUUAUCUUUUCUAUUUAUGGUAAUUAUGAAUAUUAUAAUUAGUAUAAUUCAACCACUCACUAAGUAUGAAAUUGAAUUUGUUAAUUCAGUGUCAAGCAGGUUGUAGUCCUUGGAUUCGACUCUUGUGGAUGAAAAAAAUACUUGUUAGGAGAGUUAGCUUCACAUACCUAUGAAUGUUUCCGGCUCGGACAGGAUUACCUCUAGUGCGAGGAUACAUGUGGAAAAAGAAAGAAAAAAACAGGUUGUACUCCAAUUAAGUAUUCAUGAAAUGUAUAAAGUAAAUGAUGUUCGAAUUAAAUAGUGGUCAAAACCAUUUCACUCUUUCAAAUGAUGAGAACCAUUCACACUACCAUUUUAACGUUGGCAAAAAAACAUUACAAGAUGCUUUAAAGGACAUGACAGUUGAAGAAUCAUCAGAAUUCACAAGGCCUGCAUGCUCUGCCGCUAGCUAUGUAUAUGAGGACAUAUUUGUUGGAAUAGAAAUUAAUGUAAACACAUCAUAUAAAGCAAAGGGUAUAAGGUCCCACUUGAGUUUACACCUUCAAGAUUUUAACUAGUUUUCUGAAUAGCUCAGCCAUGAAAGAUUCCUCUCAUUUAAUUCUGUUAGUGUCCCCUCCAUAUGACCAACACCUCUUAUCAUCAUUCUCAUUAUUCCUCUCAUGUUUGUAUAUCAUGCGUUUCUCUCAGUAGUUGUACACCCUCAAUUAUAGUUCCAUGUUCAUAUAUUUAUGACUACUUAGUAAAACUGCAUAUAAAUAGGUUUGUAGGGGGAUUAAGCAUUUAAGAUUAUAUACUAGUUAAUUAUGGAAUUAGAGUGAAGAUGAUUGUAACAUGACCUCAAUUAAUCUCAAACGCUUUAUUAUAUGUAAGAUAUAAUAUAUAAUAAUAUGCGUUUGCUUAAUAUCUUUAUAUACAGAAUGCUAUGUAAUAUGUAUAAACUAUUUAAAUGAUAUAGCUUAAUUAAGGGUGGACCAUCAUUUUCUCUCAUAACAGAUAAUUAAGUAGAAUAAUGAAUGAUGGUUUAGUGCAAACUCUAAUGGCCGACCUGAUACGGCAAUUUUACCUACUCCUUGUGACAUUAAUAUGCACUGCUGUAUAUGCAUUUUUUAAUCAUAUAUUUUUUGUUGAACUAGCUCUACCAAUAUUAUCUAAUAAUAUAUCAAUAACUCUCUGAAAGAGGAAGCAUAAGUUUGAAUACCCAUGUCGGUAGAUGUUGUGGUUUCAGGUUUUUAAAGAGAUAUAUUUAUUAAAAGAAGGUUUAUAAAGAGAUAAAAGAACAAUAAAUACCUAUAAUCCUAUACAUUUUGGUCAAGAAGAAAAGUUUUGGUAUAUAGCAAGUGAAACCAGAAUAGAGACAUUAAUUUUACAACAUUGGCACAUAUAUUAUAUUUCAUUUUUCUUAUAAUAAUUUCUCCAUUAAUUACAUUAUGCUUUCUGCUUAAUUAAUUCACUCACCUCUCGCCCUAAUUCCAGUUUCUCCAAGAAAGUUCAUAGGUCUUUGACUAGAUUUAUGACCUUAUAUAGAUAUAUAUUUCACCUCUACUUGAAUGAGAUAAGUAUUGGUAUAACUGAUUAUAGUACCCACUAUACUUAUAUAUAUAUGUCAUACAUGAUUGCAUAGCAUAUGAUUUGAAUAUGAUCUUACAUAGAUAUAUAUUUCAUCAUCUAUAUCUAGAGAGAUAAAAAAACUUAUUCUGUUUUCAAUCUGUACAAAUACCUAAAUGAAUAUCAAUUCAUCAUGGGGAUAUACAAAAAUAUGGAAUAUAAUAUGAAACAAAUGAACAAGUAAUUAUAUAUACUUACCGGGUAUUUGAGAUUUGAGGGGGUGGAGAUGGAAAUUAAGAAGUGUAAAAUAAGAUAUUGACGCGGCUCAAUUAAACUACAAGGCUGGUUUUCAUGUUAGCCAUGUCUUCAAAUUGAGGCGUGCCAAUACCUUGAUUUGUGCCUUCAUAUAGCACUUCUCUAUCACCACCUCUCACCCUUGUAGAGGUUAAUUAUAUAUAUGCUCCUUUCGAUAACCAUCAUUUAUGCAUUUCUCUUCAUCUAUAAUGAGCUUGGUAAAUUUUCCAUGAUAUAUACAAGAUCUGCUUUAUAUAUUUGGAAGAGAAAACAUGAAUUUCUGAGUGUGGGAGAAGAGAAGAAAAGUGGAUAAAUGAUUAAAACUGAGUACUGGUUUGUGCUUAUGUACGAUACACUGUUUGACUAACCCAUUU